rnacentral:rRNA from 1 species
AUUGAACGCUAGCGGCAUGCUUAACACAUGCAAGUCGAGCGGAAACGAUGGAAGCUUGCUUCCAGGCGUCGAGCGGCGGACGGGUGAGUAACGCGUAGGAAUCUACCUUAUAGUGGGGGAUAACCCGGGGAAACUCGGGCUAAUACCGCAUAAUCUCUUCGGAGCAAAGCGGGGGAUCUUCGGACCUCGUGCUAAAAGAUGAGCCUGCGUUGGAUUAGCUUGUUGGUGGGGUAACGGCCUACCAAGGCGACGAUCCAUAGCUGGUCUGAGAGGACGAUCAGCCACACUGGGACUGAGACACGGCCCAGACUCCUACGGGAGGCAGCAGUGGGGAAUAUUGGACAAUGGGGGCAACCCUGAUCCAGCAAUGCCGCGUGUGUGAAGAAGGCCUUCGGGUUGUAAAGCACUUUCAGUGGGGAAGAAAGGCCCAAGAUUAAUACUCUUGGGAGUUGACGUUUACCCACAGAAGAAGCACUGGCUAACUCUGUGCCAGCCGCCGCGGUAA